GAUGAACGCUGGCGGCGUGCCUAAUACAUGCAAGUCGAGCGAACGGACGAGAAGCUUGCUUCUCUGAUGUUAGCGGCGGACGGGUGAGUAACACGUGGAUAACCUACCUAUAAGACUGGGAUAACUUCGGGAAACCGGAGCUAAUACCGGAUAAUAUUUUGAACCGCAUGGUUCAAAAGUGAAAGACGGUCUUGCGGUCACUUAUAGAUGGAUCCGCGCUGCAUUAGCUAGUUGGUAAGGUAACGGCUUACCAAGGCAACGAUGCAUAGCCGACCUGAGAGGGGGAUCGGCCACACUAGAACGGAGACACGCUCCAGACUCCUGCGAGAGGCAGCAGUAGGGAAUCUUCCGCAAUGGGCGGAAACCUGACGGAGCAAGGCCGCGUGAGUGAUGAAGAUCUUCGGAUCGUAAAACUCUGUUAUUAGGGAAGAACAUAUGUGUAAGUAACUGUGGACAUCUUGACGGUACCUAAUCAGAAAGCCACGGCUAACUACGUG
rnacentral:rRNA from 1 species